rnacentral:sRNA from 1 species
CGGGAAGAGCCGGGGAGGUGGGUGAGAACCGCCGCCGUGGUUCGACAGGAAUGCCCGGAGGGCGUUCCUGAACGUGCCGGAAGGCACGGCCCGGAGGGCGAGGCGCGCAAGCGCCGAGUCAUCCACCUCCCUCCACCA